AUCCAUUUCCGGUUCGGCCCAUGACUUGAGGGCAUUAUAGUGAUCGGACAUCUUAAAACCCUAGGUUCCCACCACGCUGCGCGCUUUAAAUAUGACCCACGCGUUAGCCCCUUACGCUGUCGCCGACUCCUUCGGAGAUGUCGAAACGAGGACGAGGAGGCACCGCUGGAAACAAGUUCCGCAUGUCGCUGGGUCUUCCAGUGGCGGCGACGGUCAACUGUGCCGACAACACAGGGGCCAAGAACCUCUAUAUUAUAUCCGUCAAGGGGAUAAAGGGCCGGCUAAACCGGCUUCCGUCUGCUUGUGUCGGGGAUAUGGUGAUGGCUACCGUCAAGAAGGGUAAGCCGGACUUGAGGAAGAAGGUUAUGCCUGCUGUCAUUGUCAGGCAGCGGAAGCCGUGGCGCAGAAAGGAUGGUGUCUACAUGUACUUUGAAGGGAGUUCCUCCAUUGGAGGUGGUCUCAUAUUCCAUCGCCUGGAGGAGCAGCAUCGCUGCCAUUACCUCUUGGGACUGGCCAUGAGACAUACAUAUAGCUGUUGAGCUAAGAUAAAGAUAAUGCUGGAGUUAUUGUGAAUCCAAAAGGAGAAAUGAAAGGAUCUGCUAUCACAGGACCCAUAGGGAAGGAAUGUGCUGAUCUGUGGCCUAGAAUUGCCAGUGCAGCCAAUGCCAUCGUAUAAUGGUGAAGGCUUAAGUUUUUCUUUUUCCCAUUUUCCAAUCGUUGUGCUCAAAUGGAAUUUUGGAUUUUUUGUUGGUUCUAUAAAUUUUCUUUUUCUUGUGGUUAACUGGACAAGAUUUUGAUGUCUUAUGUGUCACCCACGAAUCUGGGUUUUAGUGUCAAGUGCUUGGAUUCCUCCAUAUGAGAUGCACUAAUGUGGCAUUUAACAUAAAAUUGACACAUUCCAUUAUGACA